UCCUUUCAGGGUCUUGUAUUUCUGUUUGGAGUAGAUGUAAAAUUAUAGACAUGGAACAUCUGUGCUUUACUGCUCAAGCGGCCUGAUGCACCAAUUAUAGGGCUGGUUUUGUAAAGGAGUCACAUAAUCACUGGUGACGGGAGUCAGUAUGUGGCUGUGAUUAUGGAGUUAAGAGAUGAGAGGAGCUAAAGUAAUUCCAAUUUUUGCUGGUGGGCUUGAUUUUUCAGAACCUGUUGAGAAGUUCUUGAUCGAUUCAGUUACGAAGUAACCAAUGGUGAAUUCAGUCGUCUUGCUGAUUGGUUUUGGUCUUGUGGAGGUCCAGCAAGAUAGGAUCAUCCCAGGGCUGUUGAGGCGCUGAUGAAGCUUGAUGUUCCUUACAUUGUUGCAUUGCCAUUAGUGUUUCAAACAACUGAGGAAUGGUUGAAUAGUAGUUUGGGGCUGCACCUUAUUCAGGUAGCUUUGCAAGUUGCUGUCCCAGAGCUUAAUGGAGGGUUGGAGCCCUUUUUUUUUCCCUGGCCGGGAUCCAAGAACUGGGAAAUCACAUGCUCUUCGCAAGAGGGUGGAGCAGCUCUGCACCAGAGCAAUCGAAUAGGCUGAGCUGAAAAGAAAGUCAAAGGCAGAGAAGAAAUUAGCAAUCAUAGUCUUCAGUUUCCCUCCAGACAAAGGAAAUGUUGGAACAACUCCUCAAUGUCUUU